AGAGCUGUCUUACGGUUGAUAUCUUCCUCUAAAGCAUUCAAAUGCUUCUCUUUCUCGUUAAGAUUAUAAGACCUCUCCGUUAUGUCCUUUUCUUUCUCUGCCAAUGCCCUUGACUGAACUUCCAAGUCAUGUUCCUUUUCACCAACAAGGUCUUCCCUCUGCCUGAUAUCAACCUCUCUUAGUUCCCAAGCCCGUCUCUUGCUCUCGAUUUCAUCUUCCACCGCUUUGUACCUGCUUUCCAACUCAGCUUCCACAUCGGAUUUUCUUUUCCUCAGGAUAACCUCUUGAUUUGCUAAGACCUUCUGAAUCAGCUCCUGUGUAUUGAUAGUUUAAAAGCAUUUUAACUCUUGCAAACUAAAGUAUGAAUGAUAACUACAAAGUUCGUUAGAAUGAACAAGUAAACUCACAGAUUCUUUGGUGGCAAUUUUUUCUUCAGCAACAAGCAGCUCUUGCUCUUUCUUAAGUAGUGAAGAUUCCCUUUCAGAGACAGCCUGUUAUUGCAAGGGAACAAAACAUAAUGCUAUAAGUUCUUUGGUUGACGUGUUGAGCAGCAGUAGAAACAAAAGAUAUGUGUAUACAAACCUCUUCUCUUCUAGCAAGCGAAGCCAGCUCGAUCUCCAAAUUGGAUUUUCUGUCCUCAAAGGCUCUACGUUCCUCCUCAAAUGUACUCUUUGCAGACUCUAACCCCUUCUGAAGUUCAGCUAGUUCUUGGGAUUUACCAAAAAUGUGAUCUUCUCGCUGGUUUAGGGAAGCUUGUGCAUCCAAUAAUCUUUCAUGCUCUUGCUGCAAGCUCUUUCGCCUCUCACUUAGAGUCUGUCGCUCAAUAACGAUCUCGCUCUCUCUUGUUUCAGACCUAAACCAUAGAACGAAUGAAAACAGUUUAAUACCACAAAUGCCUUAUAGUCCAGUUAACAGAGACAGAAGACUUACUCAGACUUGAAAGAUGCAAGACGGCGAGCAAGAUCAUCUUCACGGCUCUCAACUUCCUUCAAUUUUCUCUCAGCAAUCCGGUGAUACCGGUUAGCUUCAGCCUGUAGAGCCUCAGCUGCGCGCAUUUUUGCUUCAGCAUCUGCAAAUUUCUUGAGAGCAUCCUCAAUCAUACUGUGACCUUCAGACAGUUUACUCUCAGCGGAAACUUUCGUCUCGGCACACUCUGCACGAAUCUCAUGCACAGUCUUCUCCAGCUGAGGACAAACAGAAGAAAACAAAAUCAAUUAAAAAAAUUGAAAAAAACCCUUUUUUGCCAGCUCUCAAAAGUUAAGGAAGGACUUACACUAGAGAUACACUCUUUAGCAACCCCGACAUCUUUCUUCAAACUCUCUUCUCGUUUCUUGGCUUCAGCCAAGGCGGAGACAUAGGCAGACAGAUCGCGCCGAUGUGCAAGGUCGGCUUCAUCAACAGAGGACUUAACCUCCUCAUACUUGGACAGCAAAUCGUCUUUCUCCAUGAUUAGAAGACCCAUGUUGUGUUGGUAAUCAUACACCUAACAUCCAAAAUUACGAUCAACAUAAAUAAAAACAAUCUAAAAAAGAAUCAAAGCUGAAAAGAGAAACAAAAAUCGAGACUUUAAAGACUUCCAAAAAGCAAAGCAAUAAUAACUCUCCAUCAAAACCAAUUCCAUACAAUAAAUGUUCAACAAAACGAACGGUAUGGAACAGUUGCUCUCCUUACUUACUUAGCCGGGAAAAAUCAAAUUCAUAUCAACUCAAAAUUGAACUAUUAGGCACAAGCUUCUAACAGCCUUUAAUUUCUAGCCCAAAAACACUCGCUAAAGCCUUAAACACUGUGUAAUUCUACAAGAGAUUUUCAUCGGAGAAAGAAAAUUAGGGAAGAAUCGAAAGAAAAAAAAGCGAACCUCGGAUUCGAGCUUGGCGAUGUAAGCGAUUAAGGCGGCUUUAUCCCUCUUUUUGAUCGACUGUUCAUCGAAUCCAGCUUCCUUGAGACGCUUCCACAUGAUUUCUUCGCUGAUAGGGCUUUUCAAAACCCUAGACCCAGGCGUAAUCGCUAAUCUGGUAGUUGCCGGUGUUCUCGGGACUCGCUCCGAGCUAGAAGACGUCGCCAUCGCGGUAACUAAUCGAACCGCCAAAAGUUUUCACCGAUCUACGAUCAGAAUCGCGACUGUAGUCUCUUCUCUCUCUCUAUAUAUCUGAAGAAGAAGAUACUCGGUCGCAGUGUAGUCUAGUCUCUCUCUCUUUCUUUUUUUUUUUUUAGGUCAAAAUGGUUUUAUAUUCAACUAGUCCAAAAAGUAUCAGCGAAAGUAGUAGCGUUUUAAUUUAAAGGCUUUCACGUAUUCGUUUUAAGCGGCUAAAUCCAAUUUUUUUCAAUAUUAUUAUGUAGUUUAAAAUAGGUGAUUAAAUAUGGUAAUUAAGAUUAUUCGACUCUUUACAAGACUGUAUAUAUAAAUUAAAAUUUAGAUUUUCUUAAUUCACUCUAAUCCUUUGAAAGUUUCAUACUAUGCUGUCUUUCACUUAGAAGAUGAGUAUAAUGUAUUUGUAAGUUAAAAUAUUGAGAGAAUGAUUUUUGAAAUUAAAAUACUGAGAGAAUGAUUCUUGAAGAUCUCUCUCUUUUAGUAACUUGACAGAUGUGUUUUGGUGUAUAGCCAACCCAUAUAUCUUGUUUGCCAGUAUUACAACUUUUAACCCAAAAUAAGAAUUAUUUACAAACACCUUUCUUGAAUCUUCUACGAUUUAUGAUAAUACUGACAGUUUACAUGGAUUUAUUCAAACCAGUGCACUAAACUACUUAUUUAUAUAUAUUUUUUCUAUUAUGGAUUUCAGGAGAUUUUUGGGUAACAUCAUGUUUCCUCUUUUUGUUACUGCUUGGCCCAGUAGAGUCAUUUCCAGAUGCGUUACCUCUUCUUUUCCUUCCGGCUUCAAGUCUUUCAACUGCAAUGGACAUCCCCUCGGUGUAAGCCUUCGAUGAAUCUAGCUUCAUCUUUUCUGAAGGCAAUCCUCUCUCUUCUUCAUGAUGAUGCAUUGGAGGUGAUUUCUCUGGAGACUCUGGAGAAGUCUUGAAUAUCCGAUUAGUGUAUCGUUUAAUCCAUGAUAAUGGAGCGGCAGAUGAAGGGCUUGAACCAUGGUUUUGUCUUUCCAUAGAAGAGUUGUUAUAGCCAUCUUCGCUAUUACUCACAGUGCUGACUCCAUUUUGCAACUCCACCUUCUGCUUCAGAGCAGAAACCUUUUCCCAGCUACGCUCCAAAUUGGAGAGCUGCAUUUUAGCCAUGGACAUGUCAUCUAAAGCAACUUUCAGAUUCUCCAACUUCUUCAGUUCUUCAAUCUCAUGUCGGAUUUCUUCUCUUUCAGAUCGAAGCAUAUGCCUUUGCUUCUCUAGUUUUUCUCUUUGAACCUUUAGCUCUUCAACCGAAUCCUUCAGCUCAGCCCACUCUCUCUCCCUCCUCUCACGGUCCAGUUUGAUCUCCAGCCUCUCGACAUCCAACCUCUUUAGUUCCACUUGGACUUGUUCUAACUCUUUCUUCGCUGAUUCCUUGAGGGACUGUAUACGUUCCUCUUCCAACUUCUUCUCUUGCUCAAAAGCCUUUUCUCUCUCCCUCGAAGCAUUCUCCAACUCUUCUCGUUUGUUCUCAAUGCAAUACUCCAGCUCUCGUUUCUGCGACUCAAUACCCAACAAGAAGUCAGCACGUUCGCGCUGUAUCUUGCUAAGCCACUCUGAAUGCUCCUCCACCAUUUUAUUCAUGAACUCUUCACGCUCUCGGUUAAGCGCCUCCACGUCGUUUUUGUGCUGAUUCCUCAACGCAUCCCUUUCCUCCCUGAUGUUAUCACGCUCGUCCUUGAGAUACAUUGAGAAAGCCUCCCUUUGACGAGUUAUGUACUCGGCUUCUUUUCUCAACUCUUCCCUUUUCACAUCAAUGUGUUCCCACUCAGCUUCGAACUUAGCUUUCUCCACCUUCAAUCUAUCUGCUUCGACCAGCAGUUCAUGCUUUUGACCCCUCAAAUCAUCUAACUCCUCCUUGAGGUUCAACUCCAGAAUGGAUAAUUCACUUGUCUCGCUCUUCAAUGCUUCAAGCUUUUCUGUUGCGGAGUCAACGCGUUUUCUCUUGUCUUCUAGUGAUAUCAAAGACUGCUGUAGAUCUAAGUCUAAUUUUCUAAGCCGGUCCUUCUCAUCCUCCAGCAGAGCUGUCUUACGGUUGAUAUCUUCCUCUAAAGCAUUCAAAUGCUUCUCUUUCUCGUUAAGAUUAUAAGACCUCUCCGUUAUGUCCUUUUCUUUCUCUGCCAAUGCCCUUGACUGAACUUCCAAGUCAUGUUCCUUUUCACCAACAAGGUCUUCCCUCUGCCUGAUAUCAACCUCUCUUAGUUCCCAAGCCCGUCUCUUGCUCUCGAUUUCAUCUUCCACCGCUUUGUACUUGCUUUCCAACUCAGCUUCCACAUCGGAUUUUCUUUUCCUCAGGAUAACCUCUUGAUUUGCUAAGAC
rnacentral:lncRNA from 1 species